rnacentral:rRNA from 1 species
GGUGCCUAUGACGAGGAGGACCCACCCGUUCCCAUUCCGAACACGGUAGUUAAGCUCCUCAGUGCUGACGAUACUUGGCUGGUGACGGCCCGGGAAAAUAAGUCGGCGCC